UACGUAGGGUGCGAGCGUUGCCCGGAUUUAUUGGGCGUAAAGGGCGCGUAGGCGGCUCUGCACGUCCGUUGUGAAAUCGCCCGGCUCAACUGGGCGGGGUCAGCGGAUACGGCGGAGCUUGAGCAAGCUAGGGGGCAAUGGAAUUCCCGGUGUAGUGGUGGAAUGCGUAGAUAUCGGGAGGAACACCAGAGGCGAAAGCGGCGACCUGGACAGGUACUGACACUCAACUACGAAAGCGUGGGGAGCAAACAGG
rnacentral:rRNA from 1 species